rfam:Felis catus isolate Cinnamon breed Abyssinian chromosome A1, whole genome shotgun sequence.
GCCCGGGUGGCUCGGUGGGUUGAGCGUCUGACUUCGGCUCAGGUCAUGAUCUCACGGUUUGUGGGUUCGAGCCCCACACUGGGCU